rnacentral:rRNA from 1 species
AUACGGAUGGUGCGAGCGUUGUUCGGAAUUACUGGGCGUAAAGGGCGCGUAGGCGGCGAUGUAAGUCAAAUGUGAAAGUCCUCGGCUUAACCGGGGAAGUGCAUCUGAAACUGCAUUGCUUGAGUAUGGGAGAGGAAAGUGGAAUUCCCGGUGUAGAGGUGAAAUUCGUAGAGAUCGGGAGGAAUACCGGUGGCGAAGGCGACUUUCUGGACCAAUACUGACGCUGAGGCUCGAAAGCGUGGGGAGCAAACAGGAUUAGAAACCCCAGUAGUCC